CCUACGGGUGGCGGCAGUGGGGAAUAUUGCACAAUGGGGGAAACCCUGAUGCAGCGACGCCGCGUGAGUGAAGAAGGAAUUCGGUAUGUAAAGCUCUAUCAGCAGGGAAGAAAAUGACGGUACCUGAGUAAGAAGCCCCGGCUAACGACGGGCCAGCAGCCGCGGUAAUACGGAGGGGGCAAGCGUUAUCCGGAUUUACUGGGUGUAAAGGGAGCGUAGACGGCAGUGCAAGUCUGGAGUGAAAGGCGGGGGCUCCACCCCCGGACUGCUCGGGAAACUGUACGGCUGGAGUGCAGGAGCGGUCAGUGGAAUUCCUCUUGUAGCGGUGAACUGC
rnacentral:rRNA from 1 species